CCCCCCCCAACAAAUUCUGUGUUAACUCAUGUAGGAUAUUUGCAUUAUUUAAGAUUAGUUUCAAACCUUUCUGAAGCUUUUUUUUUUCACAGGAAAUCCUCUAGUGGACCUUCAGGUAUGAGUGGAUCAAAGAGCUUACAGACCUUACAUCUAUUUUUCUCUCAACAUUUGGACUUGUAUACAAUGGUUGUGAAUCAAUUGAUUUAGAAUAGACUUUCAAAAUCUAGUCACAUGUAUAGGCAUUAGCAUGACUGCCAAAGGUUACAGUUCACUAAAUUGCACUAUACAGGUCUGAUGUCCCAGUGCUUGUGGUCCAUAUAACCUUCUAGUAGAUUCUCGUUUGAGCUACAAUUAUAAUUGCUCUGCCCUGCCCUUUGACAAAAACAUUGACCCAGCCCAUCUCAUAGCCAAUCGAGUGGACUAGUAGUGUAUCCAGUUGACUAGUCUUAUCAAAAUGUAUGUUACUACCUUUGUAAUGUCUGCCUGUAUUCCUGUGAUGAUACUUUGUAUGCUGACCUGCCAUGUUCUUCUAAUGCUUUCAACCAAUUGACUAACAGCAGAAAUCUUAAUAAAAAUGAAAUUCCUAAGUCUGAUGAACUAGAGAUCUUUAGGCUGAUACACAGGAUUGGACUCUCUUAAUGAUCUUCUGCUCAUGUGACUAUAAUUUAAAACAACAACAUUCUCUUUGGUUCAUCAGCUACUUGAGUUAUCUUUCUUGUUUGAGCUUGUCCUCAUAACAUGGUUUCACUUGAAUUGAUUUCUGGUUGACUUAUUUCAUUAAAGACAUUCUCUUACCAUCGCUAU